rnacentral:rRNA from 1 species
UACGUAGGCAGCAAGCGUUGUUCGGAAUUACUGGGCGUAAAGAGUGUGUAGGCGGUGCUCUAAGUCUGUUGUGAAAUCUCCCGGCUUAACUGGGAGGGUGCAGCGGAAACUGGAAUGCUCGAGUAUGGGAGAGGUAAGCGGAAUUCCUGGUGUAGCGGUGAAAUGCGUAGAUAUCAGGAGGAACACCUGUGGUGUAGACAGCUUACUGGACCAUCACUGACGCUGAGACACGAAAGCGUGGGGAGCAAACAGG